CCUACGGGAGGCAGCAGUAGGGAAUCUUUCACAAUGGGCGAAAGCCUGAUGGAGCAACGCCGCGUGCAGGAUGAAGGCCUUCGGGUUGUAAACUUCUUUUAUAAGCGAGAAAUAUGAUGGUAACUUAUGAAUAAGGAUCGGCUAACUACGUGCCAGAAGCCGCGGUCAUACGUAGGAUCCGAGCAUUAUCCGGAGUGAAUGGGUGUAAAGAGUUGCGUAGGUGGCAUAAUAAGUAGCUAGGGAAAGCUGGUGGCUCAACCAUUCAGACUAUUAGCUAAACUGUUAAGCUCGAGACCGUUAGGGGUAACUGGAAUUUCUAGUGUAGGAGUGAAAUCCGUAGAUAUUAGAAGGAACACCAAUAGCGUAGGCAGGUUGCUGGGACGGUUCUGACACUAAGGCACGAAAGCGUAGGGAGCAAACGGGAUUAGAUACCCUUGUAGUC
rnacentral:rRNA from 1 species